rnacentral:rRNA from 1 species
GAUGAACGCUAGCUACAGGCUUAACACAUGUAAGUAGAGGGGAAACGGUUUUAUUGCUUGGACUGAAUGGACGUCGACCGGCGCACGGGUGAGUAACGCGUAUCCAACCUUCCCAUUACUGUGGGAUAACCUGCCGAAAGGCAGACUAAUACCGCAUAAUCUUCCAUGACGGCAUCAUAUUUGAACCAAAGAUUUAUCGGUAAUGGAUGGGGAUGCGUCUGAUUAGGUUGUUGGCGGGGUAACCGCCCUCCAAGGGGAUGAUCAGUGUGGGUUUAGACAUGCAUGUUCCCCACAGUUGUACUGUCACCCUCCCGUACUCCUUCUGGACCUUUCAUGGUGAAUUCUUUGUCAUU